UUAAGAAAGAAUGAAAGUUUUAUUGAAGUAUAAUAAAGUAUACUGGAUCAGAAACGGACUACAUAUAUGAUUUGUUGGCUUGAAUAGACUAAAACAUGAGGCCCCAAAGGGGAUCUACCUUUUACUUACAUUUCAAAAUAAAUAUAUCUAGAACAAUUUCAAAAAUGUUAAUUCAUUACCUUAACCAAUUGUGACGGGUGCAGAUUUUAUACAUAGUUUAUAACAGUAUGGUAUUGGUUUAAAUUUAGUGGCCUGUAGCCUAAAUAGUAUAGCAAUGGUUUAUUGAUUUUAUUCGGAAUUCUUCUGAUACUUAGGGCAGUAGAAUUCAGGUGAUCGAUAGUGUAACAUCGUGAAUUUUCAUAUGCACAUUUAGAUGCAUUAAAGCUUAAUUAUUUUGGCAAAUUAAUGGUUAGGCAAUACAUAGAGAUAAAAGCAGUUCAGAGCACCACUGCACCUGGGAAAGGACAUAGAGAGUGUGUAGAGAGUGUGUUACCUGAAUUGUAUGUGGGCUGUGGAUCCCAUAGAUCCAAGCGACGUUUGAGCGUUUUGAGGUUAGAAAUCUCUAUAUCCACAUGUCGUAUAAUAGACUGGUUUUACGAGAAGAUUUAGUGUCAAUUUAUUAUAUAAAGCUGAACAGAAAUAAAUAACUAUGCUGUACCUAUGACUUCGUUUGUUACGCAUUU